rnacentral:rRNA from 1 species
GGGUUGUGAGGUUAAGCGACUAAGCGUACACGGUGGAUGCCCUGGCAGUCAGAGGCGAUGAAGGACGUGCUAAUCUGCGAUAAGCGUCGGUGAGGUGAUAUGAACCGUUAUAACCGGCGAUUUCCGAAUGGGGAAACCCAGUGUGUUUCGACACACUAUCAUUAACUGAAUCCAUAGGUUAAUGAGGCGAACCGGGGGAACUGAAACAUCUAAGUACCCCGAGGAAAAGAAAUCAACCGAGAUUCCCCCAGUAGCGGCGAGCGAACGGGGAGGAGCCCAGAGCCUGAAUCAGUGUGUGUGUUAGUGGAAGCGUCUGGAAAGGCGCGCGAUACAGGGUGACAGCCCCGUACACAAAAAUGCACAUGCUGUGAGCUCGAUGAGUAGGGCGGGACACGUGGUAUCCUGUCUGAAUAUGGGGGGACCAUCCUCCAAGGCUAAAUACUCCUGACUGACCGAUAGUGAACCAGUACCGUGAGGGAAAGGCGAAAAGAACCCCGGCGAGGGGAGUGAAAAAGAACCUGAAACCGUGUACGUACAAGCAGUGGGAGCCUCUUAAUGGGGUGACUGCGUACCUUUUGUAUAAUGGGUCAGCGACUUAUAUUCUGUAGCAAGGUUAACCGAAUAGGGGAGCCGAAGGGAAACCGAGUCUUAACUGGGCGUUAAGUUGCAGGGUAUAGACCCGAAACCCGGUGAUCUAGCCAUGGGCAGGUUGAAGGUUGGGUAACACUAACUGGAGGACCGAACCGACUAAUGUUGAAAAAUUAGCGGAUGACUUGUGGCUGGGGGUGAAAGGCCAAUCAAACCGGGAGAUAGCUGGUUCUCCCCGAAAGCUAUUUAGGUAGCGCCUCGUGAAUUCAUCUCCGGGGGUAGAGCACUGUUUCGGCAAGGGGGUCAUCCCGACUUACCAACCCGAUGCAAACUGCGAAUACCGGAGAAUGUUAUCACGGGAGACACACGGCGGGUGCUAACGUCCGUCGUGAAGAGGGAAACAACCCAGACCGCCAGCUAAGGUCCCAAAGUCAUGGUUAAGUGGGAAACGAUGUGGGAAGGCCCAGACAGCCAGGAUGUUGGCUUAGAAGCAGCCAUCAUUUAAAGAAAGCGUAAUAGCUCACUGGUCGAGUCGGCCUGCGCGGAAGAUGUAACGGGGCUAAACCAUGCACCGAAGCUGCGGCAGCGACACUAUGUGUUGUUGGGUAGGGGAGCGUUCUGUAAGCCUGUGAAGGUGGCCUGUGAGGGUUGCUGGAGGUAUCAGAAGUGCGAAUGCUGACAUAAGUAACGAUAAAGCGGGUGAAAAGCCCGCUCGCCGGAAGACCAAGGGUUCCUGUCCAACGUUAAUCGGGGCAGGGUGAGUCGACCCCUAAGGCGAGGCCGAAAGGCGUAGUCGAUGGGAAACAGGUUAAUAUUCCUGUACUUGGUGUUACUGCGAAGGGGGGACGGAGAAGGCUAUGUUGGCCGGGCGACGGUUGUCCCGGUUUAAGCGUGUAGGCUGGUUUUCCAGGCAAAUCCGGAAAAUCAAGGCUGAGGCGUGAUGACGAGGCACUACGGUGCUGAAGUGACAAAUGCCCUGCUUCCAGGAAAAGCCUCUAAGCAUCAGGUAACAUCAAAUCGUACCCCAAACCGACACAGGUGGUCAGGUAGAGAAUACCAAGGCGCUUGAGAGAACUCGGGUGAAGGAACUAGGCAAAAUGGUGCCGUAACUUCGGGAGAAGGCACGCUGAUAUGUAGGUGAAGCGACUUGCUCGUGGAGCUGAAAUCAGUCGAAGAUACCAGCUGGCUGCAACUGUUUAUUAAAAACACAGCACUGUGCAAACACGAAAGUGGACGUAUACGGUGUGACGCCUGCCCGGUGCCGGAAGGUUAAUUGAUGGGGUUAGCGGUAACGCGAAGCUCUUGAUCGAAGCCCCGGUAAACGGCGGCCGUAACUAUAACGGUCCUAAGGUAGCGAAAUUCCUUGUCGGGUAAGUUCCGACCUGCACGAAUGGCGUAAUGAUGGCCAGGCUGUCUCCACCCGAGACUCAGUGAAAUUGAACUCGCUGUGAAGAUGCAGUGUACCCGCGGCAAGACGGAAAGACCCCGUGAACCUUUACUAUAGCUUGACACUGAACAUUGAGCCUUGAUGUGUAGGAUAGGUGGGAGGCUUUGAAGUGUGGACGCCAGUCUGCAUGGAGCCGACCUUGAAAUACCACCCUUUAAUGUUUGAUGUUCUAACGUUGGCCCGUAAUCCGGGUUGCGGACAGUGUCUGGUGGGUAGUUUGACUGGGGCGGUCUCCUCCUAAAGAGUAACGGAGGAGCACGAAGGUUGGCUAAUCCUGGUCGGACAUCAGGAGGUUAGUGCAAUGGCAUAAGCCAGCUUGACUGCGAGCGUGACGGCGCGAGCAGGUGCGAAAGCAGGUCAUAGUGAUCCGGUGGUUCUGAAUGGAAGGGCCAUCGCUCAACGGAUAAAAGGUACUCCGGGGAUAACAGGCUGAUACCGCCCAAGAGUUCAUAUCGACGGCGGUGUUUGGCACCUCGAUGUCGGCUCAUCACAUCCUGGGGCUGAAGUAGGUCCCAAGGGUAUGGCUGUUCGCCAUUUAAAGUGGUACGCGAGCUGGGUUUAGAACGUCGUGAGACAGUUCGGUCCCUAUCUGCCGUGGGCGCUGGAGAACUGAGGGGGGCUGCUCCUAGUACGAGAGGACCGGAGUGGACGCAUCACUGGUGUUCGGGUUGUCAUGCCAAUGGCACUGCCCGGUAGCUAAAUGCGGAAGAGAUAAGUGCUGAAAGCAUCUAAGCACGAAACUUGCCCCGAGAUGAGUUCUCCCUGACUCCUUGAGAGUCCUGAAGGAACGUUGAAGACGACGACGUUGAUAGGCCGGGUGUGUAAGCGCAGCGAUGCGUUGAGCUAACCGGUACUAAUGAACCGUGAGGCUUAACCUUACAACGCCGAAG